rnacentral:rRNA from 1 species
UAUAUUAUAAACAGGUUAGAGCCAGGUUGGUUAGGCGCCUCAUUUGGGUUGAGGAAUUGUUAUGUUCGAAUCAUAAUAACCUGAAAUGGGAUUUUUUUUUAAAUCACUUUUAUAUAAAAAUAUAUAGUAAUGUAUUUGAUAUGUAAUGUAUUAUUUCAUAAUUUUAUUACCUUAUAUUUUUAGAUUAUAGAUUAUAAGGAUUAACUUUAUGGCUAGUAUAUAAAGAGACUAUUAUAGAAUAAUAAAAGGCUGUAUAUUAAACCAUUAGUACCGUAAAAAUGAUGGACUAGUUUCAUUUAUUAGGGAAAAGGGUAGAAGAAUUUCUAUAAAAAAAAACGAAGUGAAUUGAAGUAUCUUAUUAGCUUCAGGAAAAUAAAUCAAACGAGAUUCUAUUAGUAGUGUGAAUGAAAAUAGAUAUAGGCUUAAAGUAAAAUGGAUUAAUCUGUUUGAAUAUAGGGGAACCUUCCUCUAAGCCUUAAUAUAAUAUACAAGAAAUAGAGAAUAGUACUGUGAAGGAAGUAUGUAAAAUAGUAGUCUUAUAAGCAGCUCAAGGUAAGUUUAAUAAACAUAUGAGAGCGUACCUUUUGUAUAAUGGGUCAGCAAGUUCUAGUUAGAUGCAAGCAAGUAGUGAUUAGUGGUGAUAGAUUAAAUUUAAGAAAUUAAAUUGAAGAAACAUAAUUUUAAUACACAAAAAAGAAUCAAUUUGCCUAGAUAAUCCAAUUAUUAAGUAAUGAAUUAGUAUCUAAUUAGAGACCCGAAGAGUAGUGAUCUUACCAUGGUCAGGCUUAUAAAAGGCCGAAUGGGUUAUCGUUGUAAAGAUAUCCAAAGAACUGUGGUAAGUUAGUGAAAGACAAUCCUGACUACUAUAGCUGGUUUUCCGCGAAACAUAUGUAAGUAUGUAGUUUAAAUAACAUCAUAGCAGGUACAGAACUGUGAUCUCGGACAAUUUGUGCAUUAAUAUCCUAUUAGGGUAUAUAAUGCCUUGUGCAUAUGGGGGGGUCGUGAAGACUCUAUUCGCGAGUAUUUGCUCUCGGAAGGGCAAUGAUGAGUGUUGAACUAUCAGACAUUUAACGAUAAGGUUGUAUGUCAAAAGGGAAACAGCCCAGAACAAGUGUUUAAGGUUCCAAAGUUUUUGUUAAGUGAAAGUAAGGAAGUAUUUAAACUAUACAACCAGGAAAUAGGCUUAGAAGCGGCCAUUUUUUAAAGACCUCGUAACAGAGCACUGGUUCAAAUGGUUAAUUCGUUAACCUAAUUAGUUAAAAGCGCCGAAGAUAUAACGGAUCUAAAACAAAACACCGACACCUUGUCCAUAAUAAUUAUAUUAGGUAUAAUCCUAGUUUACUAUACUUAAAGGUUAUUUAAGUAUUAUUUAUGGGGUAGCGGAACAUUGGGUAAAUAGGUUUUAAAUAGAUAGUACUCCUUCGGUUCUAAAUAGAUAGAACUUACCUCUUUCCCAAGUGAGAGAAGGUUGGUCUUUUAUUAAUUUAUAAUAACUGACUAUACAGGAUAAUUUAUAGUUACGUCUAUUUCAUAAUUACAUUUGUAAUUUGCUCGCUAUAUAGCGGGUUACCGUACAUAUCCCAAGUGAGAAUGCUGACACGAGUAACGAAAAAGAGAACUUAGUAUUACACUACUAUGUAAAAUGUUCUCUCGCCUUAAGCUUAUGGGAAAGUUAAUCGGUCUCUAAAUUAAACCUAAAGGAUAAAAUGAUGAGGAGAUUAUAUGUGACAACAUAAAGAAAUGGAGUAAAAUGUUCUGGAAAAGCAUAUAAUAUACAAGAAAGGAGCAAUGAGGAAAUGGAGAAAUUGUUCUAGGUUAUAAACUAAAAAGAAGAUACUACUUCCUUGUAUAUACUAAAACCGUACCUAAAAACUACCACAAGUAAGCUAGUAGAGAAUACGAAGGCGUUUGAGCUAACAAUCAUUAAGGAACUCGGCAAAUUGACACCGUAACUGAGGGAGAAGGUGUGCCAUUCCUACUGAUUAAUAUCAGUUUAGGAAGAGGAGACAUAAAAUGGUGUUGCACGACUGUUUAAUUAAAACACAGCACUUUGCGUAAGAUGUAAAUCAAUGUAUAGAGUGCGCUAUCUGCCCAAUGAUGGCUGGUUAACGGAUUUACUUAGACGACUAAAAUAGGCUAGGUUUUGAAGGAACCCCCAUUUAAUGGCGGCCUUACCUAUGAGGGUCCUAAGGUAGCGAAAUACCUUGGCAUUUAAAUGAUGUCGCGCAUGAAUGAUCUCACGAUGCAACAGCUGUCUCAAUGAUUGGCUCAGUGAAACUGGAAUGGCAGUGAAGAUACUGCCUAUCUCUAGAUAGACGAGAAGACCCCAUGCAGCUUUACUGUUACUAGUUAUAGGGUAUAAUUUAACAGGUUUUAGGGAAUAAGGUAGUUGAGCGACAAAAUUGAAACACCUUUACUCUGGUUGUUAUAUCAGUAGAAUAGGUUACAUUAUUGUAACUGACGUCUGAAUGUAAUCCAUAAAAGGAGGGAGAUUAUAUCAAGCUCAGGAGACAAUGGCUAGCAGAUGGUUUAUGCGGGGCACAGAUCCCAUAAAGAGUACCUGGGAGUAUCCAAAUUUAUUUUUGUAAUAUGCUAUACGCAAAUUAUAUAAAGCUUUAUUAACUUAUUGCUUUAUAUGGUUUAAUUUUUUUUUUAAAUUACUAUAUGUAGUUUGUUAUUUUUUAUAUUUACUUUAUUAAGGCUAUAUUUACAAAACCGUUACGUGAGUGGUAUAGGUUAGUAAAAGUAUCUAUAACCAAUUCAGUUAUAUUUCUAUUUAAGUUAGAACUAAACAAU